AGAUAAUAUAACUCUUUCAGAUUUUUUUCUAGCAGGUUUUCUGACUUUGAUUGGAAAACUCAA
ensembl:snRNA LOC120102617 U7 small nuclear RNA